AAGACAUUAAAUGAGAAUGUGACGAAGUUCUCUUCACCCCAAAUAAUGUCAGGAUGGUUUUAUUACCAGCCCAAAAUAAUAAUAACAAAAAUGUUUGAAAACGUUUGCCUAAUGAUAAUUACGCAAUCUCCGCGACCUUAUCGUUCAAAUUUAAUUAUUACCCGUCGACUUUUAAAUGUUAAGGAUAAUACCAUAGUCUCUGAUGUAUGUAUGGUUCGCACGUCAUGACAUUUAAACCACAGUGAAUUUUACUUACCAAUAUAUUAUUAUUGUUAGGUAUAUAUUCUACCUUUGUUUGUUAUAAAUGAAUACGCGAGCGAUUAUAAUAUAGGCCUGGGGAGGUUUUCGGGCACGCUUAUACUUAGCCUUUUUUUAUAUAAUUAUACGGGAUGAUAUUUUUGUCGCAAACCGGCCAUUUUCUCGGAGGUUUUUAAAUGAAUUAAAAUUUUUUUUUUUUUUAUUUUUUUAAUCAUUAUAGCAGAAUCGUUGAAGUUUUAUCAUAAGACUAUUUUUCAUUUUUCUACCCCUACUCCUCAUAACAAAAAAUGAUAGUAUCCACUUUAGUUUUUUAAACAGCCGCCUCUUUCUAAACUACAGAUUCGAAUGAGAAUAUUUUUCUAGAAAUUUUGAUACGCGUAACAUCAAAAUAGGGGUUAUCGUUUAUGAGUUAUAACAGUUUACGAGUUUAGACCGCCGAGGAAUAGGGAAUGGUAAUAAAUUGCAAAUCUGUCACUGGCCGAUCCGUGAUGAAUCAAUCACUUUGUAUACUCGUAUUAUUAUUAUAGAUGUACGUAGACGUGGUUUUCGGUAAAAAUCGCCUGGCCUUUAAGAGUCCCUUUAUUAUUGGGUACGCCACUGGCACGCGAAGUGUUCCAAAUAUGGCUGCAUGCAGACAUUUCGUAUUGUUCGUGAGUUCACUGCCGAUAACAAAAAAACAAAAAAAAAUCCAUGUUUUUGCGAGAAUUAUAAAAUUAUUUGACAUUCGUUAUCUGCAGUUUCGCUGCAGAUGAUCGUGCAAAAUGUUUUUAGGACGGAAAAAAUACGACUGAGGAUUCGUGU